AAUGGUUAUAGCUCAGCAGCAGAGCAACUGCUUUGCAUGCAGAAGGCUCCACGUUCAAUCCUUGGUAUCUUGA